rnacentral:rRNA from 1 species
ACGAACGCUGGCGGCGUGCUUAACACAUGCAAGUCGAACGGAAAGUCCCUGCUUUUGUGGGGUGCUCGAGUGGCGAACGGGUGAGUAACACGUGAGUAACCUGCCCUUGACUUUGGGAUAACUUCAGGAAACUGGGGCUAAUACCGGAUAGGAGCUCCUGCUGCAUGGUGGGGGUUGGAAAGUUUCGGCGGUUGGGGAUGGACUCGCGGCUUAUCAGCUUGUUGGUGGGGUAGUGGCUUACCAAGGCUUCGACGGGUAGCCGGCCUGAGAGGGUGACCGGCCACAUUGGGACUGAGAUACGGCCCAGACUCCUACGGGAGGCAGCAGUGGGGAAUAUUGCACAAUGGGCGGAAGCCUGAUGCAGCAACGCCGCGUGCGGGAUGACGGCCUUCGGGUUGUAAACCGCUUUCGCCUGUGACGAAGCGUGAGUGACGGUAAUGGGUAAAGAAGCACCGGCUAACUACGUG